UGAAAAAGAACCUGAAACCGUGUACGUACAAGCAGUGGGAGCACCCUUUGGGGUGUGACUGCGUACCUUUUGUAUAAUGGGUCAGCGACUUAUAUUCUGUAGCAAGGUUAACCGUAUAGGGGAGCCGUAGGGAAACCGAGUCUUAACCGGGCGUUAAGUUGCAGGGUAUAGACCCGAAACCCGGUGAUCUAGCCAUGGGCAGGUUGAAGGUUGGGUAACACUAACUGGAGGACCGAACCGAC
rnacentral:rRNA from 1 species